rnacentral:rRNA from 1 species
GACGAACGCUGGCGGCGUGCUUAACACAUGCAAGUCGAACGGAAAGGCCCUGCUUUUGUGGGGUGCUCGAGUGGCGAACGGGUGAGUAACACGUGAGUAACCUGCCCUUGACUUUGGGAUAACUUCAGGAAACUGGGGCUAAUACCGGAUAGGAGCUCCUGCUGCAUGGUGGGGGUUGGAAAGUUUCGGCGGUUGGGGAUGGACUCGCGGCUUAUCAGCUUGUUGGUGGGGUAGUGGCUUACCAAGGCUUUGACGGGUAGCCGGCCUGAGAGGGUGACCGGCCACAGUGGGAAUGAGAUAAGGCCCGGACGCCUACGGGAGGCAGCAGUGGGGAAGAGUGCAGAAUGGGCGGAAGCCGGAUGCAGCAACGCCGCGUGCGGAAGGACGGCCGUCGGGUUGUAAACCGAUUGCGCCUGUGACGAAGCGGGAGUGAGGGUAAUGGGUAAAGAAGCACCGGCUAACUACGUG